CCGCCUGGGGAGUACGACCGCAAGGUUGAAACUCAAAGGAAUUGACGGGGGCCCGCACAAGCGGUGGAGCAUGUGGUUUAAUUCGAAGCAACGCGAAGAACCUUACCAGGUCUUGACAUCCUUUGACCACUCUAGAGAUAGAGCUUCCCCUUCGGGGGCAAAGUGACAGGUGGUGCAUGGUUGUCGUCAGCUCGUGUCGUGAGAUGUUGGGUUAAGUCCCGCAACGAGCGCAACCCUUAUUGUUAGUUGCCAUCAUUCAGUUGGGCACUCUAGCAAGACUGCCGGUGACAAACCGGAGGAAGGUGGGGAUGACGUCAAAUCAUCAUGCCCCUUAUGACCUGGGCUACACACGUGCU
rnacentral:rRNA from 1 species